rnacentral:rRNA from 1 species
UACAGAGGGUGCGAGCGUUGUCCGGAAUCACUGGGCGUAAAGGGCGCGUAGGCGGCUUCUUAAGCGUGUCGUGAAAGCGCGGGGCUCAACCCCGCGUCGGCGAUGCGAACUGGGGAGCUGGAGCACGUCAGAGGCAGGCGGAAUUCCGGGUGUAGCGGUGGAAUGCGUAGAGAUCCGGAAGAACACCGGUGGCGAAGGCGGCCUGCUGGGACGUGGCUGACGCUGAGGCGCGACAGCAUGGGGAGCAAACGGG